rnacentral:rRNA from 1 species
GGAUGAACGCUAGCUACAGGCUUAACACAUGCAAGUCGAGGGGCAGCAUGGUCUUAGCUUGCUAAGAUUGAUGGCGACCGGCGCACGGGUGAGUAACGCGUAUCCAACCUUCCCUAUAGUAGGGGAUAGCCCGUAGAAAUGCGGAUUAAUACCCUAUGUUGUAUUUCGAGGACAUCUGACGAAUACCAAAGGUUCACCGCUAUAGGAUGGGGAUGCGUCUGAUUAGGUAGUCGGCGGGGUAACGGCCCACCGAGCCAACGAUCAGUAGGGGUUCUGAGAGGAAGGUCCCCCACAUUGGAACUGAGACACGGUCCAAACUCCUACGGGAGGCAGCAGUGAGGAAUAUUGGUCAAUGGGCGAGAGCCUGAACCAGCCAAGUAGCGUGCAGGAUGACGGCCCUAUGGGUUGUAAACUGCUUUUAUGCGGGGAUAAAGUGAGGGACGUGUCCCUUAUUGUAGGUACCGCAUGAAUAAGGACCGGCUAAUUCCGUGCCAGCAGCGGC